rnacentral:rRNA from 1 species
CCUACGGGAGGCAGCAGUGGGGAAUAUUGCACAAUGGGGGAAACCCUGAUGCAGCGACGCCGCGUGAGUGAAGAAGUAUCUCGGUACGUAAAGCUCUAUCAGCAGGGAAGAAAAUGACGGUACCUGACUAAGAAGCCCCGGCUAACUACGUGCCAGCAGCCGCGGUAAUACGUAGGGGGCAAGCGUUAUCCGGAUUUACUGGGUGUAAAGGGAGCGUAGACGGCAGCACAAGUCUGGAGUGAAAUCCCGGGGCUUAACCCCGGACCUGCUUGGAAAAUGUGCGGCUGGAGUGCAGGAGGGGUAAGCGGAAUUCCUAGUGUAGCGGUGAAAUGCGUAGAUAUUAGGAGGAACACCGGUGGCGAAGGCGGCUUACUGGACUGUAACUGACGUUGAGGCUCGAAAGCGUGGGGAGCAAACAGGAUUAGAUACCCUAGUAGUC